rnacentral:rRNA from 1 species
CAGAGUAUCAAUUGGAGGGCAAGUCUGGUGCCAGCAGCCGCGGUAAUUCCAGCUCCAAUAGCGUAUAUUAAAAUUGUUGCAGUUAAAAAGCUCGUAGUUGAAUUUCUGCUGCAUUGCUUUUGCUCCUUUACGAGUCUUUGCAUUGUGGCUUAUUUCGGACUUUGUUUUACAAUGUCCGGAUGUUUACUUUGAGAAAAUUAGAGUGCUCAAAGCAGGCUUUCGCCUUGAAUAGUUUAGCAUGGAAUAAUAAAGUAGGACUUUGGUUCUAUUUUGUUGGUUUUAGGUACCAAAGUAAUGGUUAAUAGGAACAGUUGGGGGCAUUCGUAUUUAACUGUCAGAGGUGAAAUUCUUAGAUUUGUUAAAGACGAACUACUGCGAAAGCAUUUGCCAAGGAUGUUUUCA